AGCUUGGCACUGAACAUUGACCCUACAUGUGUAGGAUAGGUGGGAGGCUUUGAAGCAGGUACGCCAGUAUCUGUGGAGCCGUCCUUGAAAUACCACCCUUGUAGUGUUGAUGUUCUAACGUUGACCCCUUAUCGGGGUUGCGGACAGUGCCUGGUGGGUAGUUUGACUGGGGCGGUCUCCUCCCAAAGAGUAACGGAGGAGCACGAAGGUGGGCUAAUCACGGUUGGACAUCGUGAGGUUAGUGCAAUGGCAUAAGCCCGCUUGACUGCGAGAAUGACAAUUCGAGCAGGUGCGAAAGCAGGUCAUAGUGAUCCGGUGG
rnacentral:rRNA from 1 species